GUGGUGCUUGGGUCGGUUCAACCCUGGGACACCGGGAUUGGCCCGGUCUUGAGCCGGGUAUUCGGGGCGGGUGGUCCGGCGCGGUCGUGCCGCGCC
rnacentral:tRNA from 1 species